GGUUGUAUAGUGUAGUGGUUAGCACAUCGGAUUUUGAUUCUGCCGGUUCAUCUCGGUUUCAAAUUUCCGAUAACCUGGGUUCGAGUCCCGGUACGACCU